AGUGAACGCUGGCGGUAGGCCUAACACAUGCAAGUCGAACGGCAGCACAGUAAGAGCUUGCUCUUACGGGUGGCGAGUGGCGGACGGGUGAGGAAUACAUCGGAAUCUACUUUUUCGUGGGGGAUAACGUAGGGAAACUUACGCUAAUACCGCAUACGACCUACGGGUGAAAGCAGGGGAUCUUCGGACCUUGCGCGAUUGAAUGAGCCGAUGUCGGAUUAGCUAGUUGGCGGGGUAAAGGCCCACCAAGGCGACGAUCCGUAGCUGGUCUGAGAGGAAGAUCAGCCACACUGGAACUGAGACACGGUCCAGACUCCUACGGGAGGCAGCAGUGGGGAAUAUUGGACAAUGGGCGCAAGCCUGAUCCAGCCAUACCGCGUGGGUGAAGAAGGCCUUCGGGUUGUAAAGCCCUUUUGUCGGGAAAGAAAAGCAGCAGGUUAAUACCCCGCUGUUCUGACGGUACCCAAAGAAUAAGCACCGGCUAACUUCGUG
rnacentral:rRNA from 1 species